AUUGAACGCUGGCGGCAGGCCUAACACAUGCAAGUCGAGCGAGCGGCGGACGGGUGAGUAAUGUCCGGUAAACUGCCUGAUGGCUGGGGAUAACUACUGGAAACGGUAGCUAAUUCCGCAUACCAUCAGAUGUGCCCAGAUGGGCUUAGCUAGUAGGUGGGGUAACGGCUCCCCUAGGCGACGAUCCCUAGCUGGUCUGAGAGGAUGACCAGCCACACUGGAACUGAGACACGGGCCAGACUCCUACGGGAGGCAGCAGUGGGGAAUAUUGCACAAGGGGCGCAAUCCUGAUGCAGCCAUGCCGCGUGUGUGAAGAAGGCCUUCGGGUUGGAAAGCACUUUCAGCGGGGAGGCGUUACCCGAAGAAGAAGCACCGGCUAACUCCGUGCCAGCAGCCGCGGUAAUUC
rnacentral:rRNA from 1 species